ensembl:snRNA U5 U5 spliceosomal RNA
AUACUUUGGUUUCUUUUCAGAACUUAUAAAUCUUUCACUUUUUAUUUAAGAUUUCUGUGGAGAGGAGCAGGUUUUUAUAAACAAAUUUUUAAUGCCUUGCUCUCGCAAUAA